AGCGAACGCUGGCGGCAGGCCUAACACAUGCAAGUCGAACGAGGUCUUCGGACUUAGUGGCGGACGGGUGAGUAACACGUGGGAACGUGCCCUUAGGCUCGGAAUAACUCAGGGAAACUUGUGCUCAUACCGAAUGUGCCCUUCGGGGGAAAGAUUUAUCGCCUUUAGAGCGGCCCGCGUCUGAUUAGCUAGUUGGUGAGGUAAAGGCUCACCAAGGCUACGAUCAGUAGCUGGUCUGAGAGGAUGGCCAGCCACAUUGGGGCUGGGACACGGCCCAAACCCCUACGGGGAGCAGCAAUGGGGGAACUUGCGCAAUGGGCGAAAGCCUGACGCAACCAUGGCGCGUGGAUGAUUAAAGUCUUAGGAUUGUAAAAUCCUUUCACCGGUGAAAAUAAUGACUGUAACCGUAGAAGAAGCCCCGGCUAACUUCAUGCCAGCAGCCGCCGUAACAC
rnacentral:rRNA from 1 species